GUGGCUGCAAGAAGGGUAAGCUAAACGACAGAGAAGCUUAGCAUGAUGUCAUUGCUUGUCUUUCUGCUUUUCUGAUUUAAACUGUUUCUAGAAAAUCUGGAAUCUGGGUUGUGACCUUAUCAAAAGCCACUCGCAUCCAAAUGAAGCUGACAUGAAAGAAAGAUGAUUUGCAUUUCAAGACAUGACACUGCAAUUUUUUCUAAUCUUGAUGAGAUGAGUGUUUGGAGUAGACAGGUGGGACGGGCAGAGAGGGCUUUACUUGAACCCACGGACUGAAUGUGCAUUGUAGAUGAGAGUGUAAGGGUCUGGCAGUGGCCACUUCAAACAUAGGUUCUUGUGAGCUCAGUGAAGAAGACGUGAACCAAGCCAUUGUCAAAUUUAAUUUCAGUCAAGCACGAAGCUCAGGUACAUCCAAGAAGACAAAGACAGACAAAUUCAGUGAACAUCUUUAGUAGAAUGGCCUGAAACAAGAUGAUGGUCCAUGGAGGAGAACAAAUGCAUACCUGUGAAACCAUCACCUUUGAGCAAAAUUUGCCUUUCUGACAUUGAAAUAGGCCGUUUACGCAAUUUGUGCAAAUUCCAGUCAUGUGAUUCACCUUUUCUCCCCCAUCGGACUGGAGUUUGCAAAACUGUAUGACCUUCUUUUUACUGUGGAGCAUAAAAUAUAUUUUUAAAUCCUAGCUAACUUCAUUACACUUAAAAAGGAUGUGUUGAAAACAACACAACCUGUUUUGUUUCUUAACACACCACUGUGUCUAUAUAAGGACAACACGUUUCAUGUUAAUUUUAACUCAACCAAUGUGUUAAUCCUGAUAGCACACAAAGUGUUACACUUUUUUUUUUACACACUAAUGUGUUAUAGUUACACGAUUUGUGUCAAGUACGUGUUAUUUUUGAUUCAUUUGAACAAAAUCUGUACGCAAUAAAAACACAAUAAACAUGUAGUUUAUAUAGAAUUUAUUAAACCUGCAUUUACACAAAGUCAAAAUGCAAAAAAGUAAACAAAAAAAAUUAAAAUUAUAUAUAUGAUAAUUUAAUCAUUAACAAUGUCACUUGAGUGAAAAACUCCUGAAGAGUUAAUAUCAAGUUCGUAUUUUGAAUUUUUCAAAAAAUUGAUAUUCGACAUCACACAUUAUUAAUUAUUUAUUUAUGUAUUUUCAUCAGCAUGCAGCUGAUGGUGAGGUUUGGUGAGUCUGUCACAUCAAUAACCGUCACAAGUGUUUCAGGGGCUUCUUCCAUUCAAAGCUGCAAGAGUGCAAAUAAAGACACAUGUUAUUUAUACACAUAACGAGUAUAGCAAGCUAAUGUUAGUUAGAAAGCCAAAAAAACUUAAGCGUCAGAGAUAAUGUUAACAUCUUGGGGCAUUUUACACAAUACAUGGCACAGUGAGAUCUGUUCAGAGAUGAGGUGAAUGGCGUGAAUCUCCUCAUGUGAAACACUACAACGUGUCAAUGAUUAAUUAAAAGCAACUGCACUCACAAUAAAUCUAACAACAGAAACCAUAAAGCUUGCUAUAGUAGGUUCCCACCACUGAAAUCAUAUAGCGUUAACACGGGCACGGCUCACACCGCCAUUCAUGAGGCAGUUUUCCGGCUACUGCGUAUGUGUGUAAAAUGCCCCUCGACCACUUACAAAUGAUUACAAAAGAUAGCCUAUUUAAAAAAACUUCUAAUGCCAAAUACAAACAUUUUUCUUACCUAUACACAUGGAAGAUUUCCACCGCUGAUGAAAAGGUGAAGUGUGAGGAAACUAGCUUGUGAAAAAAAUAACGGCUCAUGUUGGACACACUGCAUUUUUUCUUUUUAACACACAAAAUGUGUUAAAAUAGUCACAACACAAAAAAGUGUGUUAAAAAUGAACACAUCCUUAUAACACAGCCAACAGCAAGAGACAAGCAAGACAAUGUGAUUCACUCCAAUAGUUAAGCAUGCUAUAGGCCUAAUUGCGUGUGCUUAAAUGGAUAGUUCACCCAAACAUCAAAUUUGCUGUUAAUUUACUCACCCUCAGGACAUCAAAGAAGAACAGUAUUUUUAGCUGAAACUGUGGUCCUUGGUGAUUAAAAAAAAUGCAAGUCAGCGGCUUACAGUCACAUUGAGACAAAAAAAAACAGAGGCAACAAAAAAAUUAAUGAACCAAUCGGCAUCUGCAAGAAACUGCAUUAUUUACAUUAUUACCUGCAAUCCAUAGCCUCAGGCAAAAUGGGGAAAUCUGCAAACUGGUUUCAGCUAAAAAUCUUUACUGUUUUACUGAACAAACAAAUGGAUUGCCUGAGGGUGAGUAAAUUAACAGCAAAAUUUCAUUUUUGGGUGAAAUAUCCAUUUAAGAAGCGCUGUGUAUGAGGGUGUGAAACAGAUGUGCAAUUGCAGAAAAAGCGCCCCCAAGUAAUAACCUUUACUGUGCACAGAUGGUGCUCGAUGACCUGAACAAUCAGCUUUGACAUACUGUUAUAGUCACACACCUCACACUACCUUUGUUUCCUCGUGCUUCACUCAUCAUUUUCUCACGUGAAAGAGCAAAUGUUCUUCAUCCUAUUACAUCUCGCUGCCCUCCUUACCCCUUAAUCACUCUAUUAAUACAUUUCUAUGAAUAGCCACGGCUCACCCUCACCACGCAUUUAGAACUUAAUUAAGUGGGUGAGGACAGAAGGGUGUGUGUAUUUAAGAGACAGAGAGCGAUGCUAUUAUAAACCUCGCCGUCUCGGCCAUCAUGUCAACAGUGUUGUACAGUGCCUCGAUGUUGUCUAAAGCAGUUCCUGUUCUGCAGCUCUCACAGCUCACCUGCACAGCCUGAAGCCAAACAUUACAACCAUUUCUGCUAGUACCUCAGUCAAUACAUCAUGCGGGGCAAGCAGCUGUGUAAUGUCACAAACUCGUGAAUAAAGAUGAAUAAUUCAAACGAUUCAUACCAAUCGACUUGAGCUGGGAAAGUGAAACCAACCUUUGCUCUGCUCUCCCAGAAUCAGUUCAUGAUCUAUGAAAAUCAUGUUAAAUCACAAAUCACACUGGUCACUGUGAACAGAUCUGUGCUUCACACUCAAAGAGUGAGUUUCAAUAACUGUGUGGGCUCAAGCAGAGAACAUUUCAAAAGAACAUGCUGCUCUUAGUAAGAACAAGAGGAUGAAUAAAAACAAGGGCAACAUUUCUACUAAAGCUGAGAAUCAGAAUAGGUAGUCAGCAUUUAUCCAUGCUAAUAGUAAAUAGGUUUUUGACAAAUUAAAUUAAAUCAAAUAGAAUUAAGAAUAAAACUGAAUUUAAUGCUAUACCUGGUCAUUUGUGCUAUCAUAAUCACUUAGGGUAAACGUACACAUUAACUUCACCAAAAUCUACAUCGAGACAUUUUUAGUGCACAAGAUAUUGGUUUCAGUACAAAAAGUUAUGUUAAAAUAAAAUAUUAAUCUCUCACACAAAAAUAUUUAAUUUUAUCUUAAAUGACAAAAGCAUUUCAAUUAAGAUAUAUAUCAUUAAAUUCAAAAGGUCUGUAUAUUUUUGUACCCUUUAAGCACACCUGUUCUCAAUAAGCUCACUUCAUGUUUUAUUAGAAAUUCUUGUUUAUUUUAAGGAACAUUUUUAAGGAAUAAUUGUAAAACAAUAUAUUUUUUUGAAGGUACAAAAGUCAAUCACAAUAAAAAAAAAAAAAACAGAACACUAAAAUCAAGCAACAAGGCAUUCGAUUUGAUCAGUUAUAUAUUCAUAGUGAAGUGUCAUUUAAGCACAUUGCAACAUCUAGACUAGUCCACGUUCAGCUAAGUAACAUUCAAAAAUCAAAUAAAACAUUUAAUUCAUGUGGAUGAACACAGAAACUAGCCUCAUUAUGAAACCUCUUAUUAAAUGGAUGUCAGCUUAUCUGUAGUCUCUUAUGGCUGGAAUACACUACAUGAUUUUUGCCCCGACUUUCCACAGAUUUACAGUCUGGAGAAGUUGAUGCUAGUUGCCAAAGAUCAGAGCCAGUCUGUAGAUUUGAGUCGACAGAAUCCAUAGAAAAUCGAUUAACUUAACGUGACAACCAUCAGUUAAUAAGUCUGUUUAUGAAGUAUUUACAUAGACGUUCAAUGUGGAAGAGCUUAAAGAGAGCACACUGAGCUUAAUUGGAGCAGCAACAAUUUUUAAUAAAUUUCAUGUAAUAUUUAUUAAAAUGACAGGAUUUGUGCUAAAUAAAUAGUCUAGGUCAUGUAUUAAGUUCAUACAUAUUUUGAUGAGCAACUAUUAUUAACAAUAUCUAUGAAAUUCUACUUUUUCUUAUUGAUGUCACACUGAAGCUGUGUGAUUUUCAUAGUAGUGCACCCUUUAAGCUCACCUUAAAAUAAUAUGAAAUCUUUAAAAAUUACAGCACUGUAAAACCACAGACCAGCAAUAAACUGUCAAUGUAUAAUAUUAUGGAUGUGAAAGUACUAGCCAGUAAUGCAUGUGAAGUAAUAUGUUAGCGUAGCACACAAUCUUAUACAGCUAGUCAGCUAACUGUGUUCUGUAGCAUCUGUUGCUAAAACUAUCUCUUGGAUCUAAUGUAAUUAUUUCCCACAUCCAAGUUCCAGGUUAAUAUGCAAAAGUCUGAACAUUAAUCUCUUAAUUGUACAAUAAGUAGUGAAACAUACCCAAAAUAAAGGCUUAAAAAUCUAAAAAAAAAAAACUAAAAAAAACCUGCACAUUUAAGGGGCUCCUCUUUUGGUGGAAGUUUUCAGACAGCUUUCAAAAUGGCCACCAGACAGUGUGAACACAUGGAGACUCAUAUCUCAGUGUGCAAUUAUCUGAUUGACUUGAAAUUAUAGGAGAUAUAUAGUAACAAACAUAUCAAUUGGUUAAGACAUCAAGUAGGAUAAUAAAUUAUUUUUUCUUUUUAUAAUCUGAGCUCAAAAAUGGAAGUGUGCUUAAUGGGUACGUUUACCCUAUAUUUACACACUGUAAAAAAAGUCCGUAAAAAUACAGUACAAUAUACCGUAAUAAUUUGAAGAAAUUUUCCGUAUUUGGUUUUUACAGGUGUUUUUCCGUAUUUUUUUAAUUAAAUUACGUUUUGCAUUGUGGGAACAAGAAGCUCAGUCGAUUAUCGGCGCGAAAACAGUGCUAGAGCAGGCGCCAUUAUUCACGGAUUUUAAAGUCGGAUUUCGGGUUUGGGGAACUGUUCUUACACUUCCGUGGUAAAUUAGUUUUUGUUAAAAUGUAACAAACUGUAACUUUAACUUAGUUGCUGUCUAGCUUGUUUGGUAAAUGGAUGUCGGAGCCGUCAUAUUUAACACUUUCAGCACACUGUCACAUCUUACUCGACGACGUGGAGGUAAGUUACUUGUUACAGUGUUCUCACUUUUAGUUUUAUAAUUAAAAGUUAAUUAACUUUUUAAUUGUUGUUGCGGUGUAUUUUUUACUGAGCGUGUCCUAAAGUAACGUUACUGAGGUGAUGUUAAGCAGCUGUAAGAAUGUUAAAUCUGAGGUACAACUGUUUAGAGCGCUUUAUUCCUUCAACAGGAGCUGGCAGAGUAAUUGUCAAGAAAAGACGACACCAUUUCCAAUUUUUUUAUUUUUUUUUUAUUUUUUUUGAGAUUAAGAUAAGACUAGGUGAAGAUCUGACAUCGCAGAAUUCUCCAAGGAUAACGCCUUUUCUGCCAACGAGGUAGGUUUAGACUUUUUAUUGUCUUGUUUAUGUUAAACACACACAAGAAGUUAAUUCGGUGACGUUACUGGCACGCUGUCUGUGAACACACGUCAUGCACGCGCAGAGAAUGCCGCUUUAUCAUUAUUAUUAUUUUUAAAUUUGAGACAGCGCGUCAGUAGCGCACAGAGUUCUCUCUCUCACUUACACGGACAAAAGCACACAAAAUUAUGUAAAAAUGACAAUUUUUGGCGAGUGACAGUCUUAAAUAAGUUAAUGUCUUGACUGAUGUAAAGAGUUGGGAUGUGUCAGGUGUGAGUCAUGUGGGACAGCAGUUCAUGAGAUUCAUGCUGUUUCUUUUGUUUUCUUUUCUAAUGACAGGUCUAAUUGCUGCUGCUGUACUGUACACCCCAAGCACCCCCUGCAUUCUUAUCAUGGAUUGCUGUCAUUCAAGAAGUCAUCAUUUCCUCCCUUUGUGGCUGAGCUACACAUUCUCUGUUUUAUUUUAAACAUAAAACAUCCAGAGGAGAUGGCACCUACGCUGGAAUCCAUACAAAUUCUUCCUGUGAAGAAAUCCUGAACGAGGGUCAAAGGUUGAGAUGAUGGGAACCUACGCUUCCAAGACUUUGAGAAUCCAUGUACAAUUUGAGCUUGGACUGAACAUGCAGAAAAAAAAGUAGUUUCCACAAACUGGCACAUGACAAGAGAUACUAAAAGCACACAAGUUUAGUUUAGUAUAGUUGUAUAGUAUAGUUUCACAUUGAAAUGUGAGGCAUGAGUGCAUGAAUCUUUUUUUUAUUUUCAAAUGCUGUACAAGAAAGUGUUUUUUGCAGUACCAUGUCAGUUGUAGAUGCAGAUAAUUUAGCAUGAAUUAGAGGUUAGUAAUCUAAUUUAAAGGGUUAGUUCACCCAAAAUGUUAUAUGAAAAAUCUUGUUCCAAUCCUGUUAGACUUUUGUUCAUUUUUGGAACACUAAUGAAGAUCCUUUUUAAUGAAAUCUGACAGCUAUACCUUAUUGGACCUUGAAAUGGUUGUUGUAUAUAAUAGUUGUCAAUGGAGGGACAGAAAGCACAGAGAUUUAAUUAAAAAUACUCUUUGUUUGUGUUCCAAAGAUGAAUGAAAAUCUUAUGGAUUUGGAACAGUAUGAGGGUGAGUAAUGACAGAAUUCACAUUUUUGGGUGAACUGUCCUUUUAAAUAAUAUUGUGUUCUUCUAUAGGUUAAAUGGUGUAAACACUGGAACAUUUCACUUGACUAUUGACUAUAAGUCUAUAGCAAUUGUUAUUAAUGACAGCCCUGUCUUUGUAUUAAUUUUUUUUCCCCAUGUAUUUGAAAAUAUUUUGAAUCUUGACAAAUCUUCACAAUGAAGUUUAUCUUUGUGACCACUAUUUGGUGCAACAAGUCAAGUACCUGCUCAUGUUUUCUUUUUUCUGCAUGUUGCUGUUUAAAACUAAAGUGUUCCACAAUACAAGCAUUUUCAGUGGUGCUUUACACAUUGUUAAAUUAAUUGAUGUAAUAAUAUUUUUGUCUUCACCUGUUUAAGGCAAAUAAAAGCUACUGAACACACUUUUAAGAAUGUUUACAUGAGGUAAAAAUAAACCAUGUUCAAUUUGUAUAUAUUGUGCUUGAUUUAUUUGCUACUAAAGAUAGGCCUAUGCUAUAAUUUUUUAGAAAUUUCUGCAUUAAGGAUUGUCCGAUUAUGGUACAGAAGAAAAUGUAAAUCUACAGAAUUUUCCGUUUUAAUGUUGAAGGAAAUGUCCGUAAAUUUAAUAGAAAAUAUCCUGGCAAAUAUCCUAUAUAUUUUCUGCCAGCGCCGUUUUUUUAUGGAAUUUUUUUUUUACAGUGCAUUGUUCAAAAGUUGGGGGUCAACAUGAUUUUUAUUAUUAUUAUUAUUUUUUUUUAAAGUCUCUUAUGCUCACCAAGGUUGCCUUUAUUUAAUCAAAAAUACAGUAAAAAGAGUAAUAUUGUGAAAUAUUCAUAUUAAUACACACAUUGUUCUUCCUUGUCAAAGAAUGUUCUCUUUUUCCAUAAUACUGUAAACCUACAUCUUUUGUUAAGCACUUUGUAAACACGGUCCUACAUAAAGUUUUUUCUUAAAAACUUCCACUGGUUUGGAAGGGAUUAAUUUUAUUUUACAAUAAUAAAAGACCUUUAAAUAUUGCAUGGUUUUUCUUCUGCUCUUUAACAUAUGACUGACAAGCUAUUUUGUUCAGUCUUACAGACUUUCUACAUUUAGUCAUUAUUAUGCAGAAAUUAUGCAAAACAUCAUACAACAAGGCUUACAUCUGAAACAAGUCUUUUCUCUAAGAAGGGAUGAAAGGAGAGAAGAUGGAAUAAAAGCUUCUAAACGAUCAGCACGUCAUGAAUGUUUUGAUCUGAGAGCUUUUGGUGGCUGUAUGAUCUAGCAAAGUAUUUUUGGAAAAGCUUAAAGAAAAUCCACAAUUAAUCCGCAUUUGUCAUUUUUCAAGUAUUUUAGGAGUAGUAGCACACACACACACACACACACACACACACUACAGACUCCAGCAUAUUGAGCGGAUUCUGAAUUGGCCAUUGCCUUCAUGUGUUCAACAAACAUGUCUGUGAUUUGGUACAAUGCUCAACGCUGCAAAGAGACUGACUCACUUGAUUAAGCACCCAAGGAAGGGCAGAAAAAAAGCUGAGAAGGCAGGAAGGGACAAGUACAGAUAAAAAGGGCAGGAAGUAAUGUGGGAUGGGGGAAAUGAGUGAGUGGAUGAAAAGUGUCACAGCGAGUGCUGACAAUGGCUAAAGAUGGAAGAGAGAGGAGAAAAAUUAUGGAAAGUUCACAGCUAAUAUUCUUAUAUGAAUCCCCAUCAUCAUGCUGAACUUUAAGAUCCUAAAACAGUCUUUAAACUCUUAUAAAAUAAAGUUUCCAAACAGGGGUUUCUGUUGCAAUGCAAUAGAAUAACCAAUUUUUGGUUCCCCAAAAGAACCUUUCUGUGCACAGCUCUUAAAAUAACCAUUUUUUUCCUCAGUGUGAAAAACUUUUUAAAAUGUCUAAAGAACAUUUUGUGGAAUGGAAAGGUUCAAUGGAUGUUAAAGGUUCUUCAUGAAACCAUAUAUGCCAAUAAAGAGUCUUUCAAUUUAAAGAGUAUAAGGGAAAAACGGGUAAAUCAAGCAACAAUCAAAUAGUGAGCACAGCCAUUAUUGCAGAAAGUGCCAAAGUUACUUGAA